GACGAACGCUGGCGGCGUGCUUAACACAUGCAAGUCGAACGGAAAGGCCCCUUCGGGGGUACUCGAGUGGCGAACGGGUGAGUAACACGUGAGUAACCUGCCCUUGACUUCGGGAUAACUUCAGGAAACUGGGGCUAAUACCGGAUAGGAAUCCUUGCUGCAUGGUGGGGGUUGGAAAGCUUCGGCGGUUUUGGAUGGACUCGCGGCCUAUCAGCUUGUUGGUGGGGUAGUGGCUUACCAAGGCUUUGACGGGUAGCCGGCCUGAGAGGGCGACCGGCCACAUUGGGGCUGGGGUACGGCCCAGACUCCUACGGGGGGCAGCAGUGGGGAAUAUUGCACAAUGGGCGGGAGCCUGAUGCAGCAACGCCGCGGGCGGGAAGACGGCCUUCGGGCUGUAAACCGCUUUCAGCAGGGGCGAAGCUUGUGGUGACGGUACCUGCAGAAGAAGCACCGGCUAACUACGUG
rnacentral:rRNA from 1 species